rnacentral:rRNA from 1 species
UACGUAGGGUGCAAGCGUUGUCCGGAAUCAUUGGGCGUAAAGCGCGUGUAGGCGGCUCGAUAAGUCUGCUGUGAAAGUCCAGGGCUCAACCCUGGGAUGCCGGUGGAUACUGUCGAGCUCGAGUCCGGAAGAGGCGAGUGGAAUUCCUGGUGUAGCGGUGAAAUGCGCAGAUAUCAGGAGGAACACCGGUGGCGAAGGCGGUGAUCUGGGCCGACACUGACGCUGUAGAGCGAAAGCGUGGGGAGCGAACAGG